CCUACGGGUGGCAGCAGUGAGGAAUAUUGGUCAAUGGGGGAAACCCUGAUGCAGCGACGCCGCGUGAGUGAAGAAGUAAUUCGUUAUGUAAAGCUCUAUCAGCAGGGAAGAAACUGACGGUACCUGAGUCAGAAGCCCCGGCUAACUACGUGCCAGCAGCCGCGGUAAUACGUAGGGGGCAAGCGUUAUCCGGCUUUACUGGGUGUAAAGGGAGCGUAGACGGCAGUGCAAGUCUGGAGUGAAAGGCGGGGGCUCAACCCCCGGACCGCUCUGGAAACUGUACGGCGGGAGUGCAGGAGAGGUAAGUGGAAUUCCUAGUGUAGCGGUGAAAUGCGUAGAUAUUAGGAGGAACACCAGUGGCGAAGGCGGCUUACUGGACUGUAACUGACGUUGAGGCUCGAAAGCGUGGGGAGCAAACAGGAUUAGAUACCCCAGUAGUC
rnacentral:rRNA from 1 species